rnacentral:lncRNA from 1 species
UCAGCAACUCUAGAGUGCGAUGAAGAAGCUUCACUCUGGGAGAACCCCCUUCGUGACCACGGUCUCUUUCCUGCCAGGUAAGUGGGAAUGAGCGCAUGCCCUGCAGGGACAGCACAGCGUCCUCGCCCUGGUCGGACGCUCAGGGUCACCACCCUACCCACUGCCCCCUUCGCCAUUCUUCCAAACCACUCUCUGCCAAAGAUUCCACCGACAGUCACCCCACACGACAACGCAGGCCGCCUUUCAGCAGUGGCUCCCGCCCCGCAACCACGCGCCCUCUCACCCCCGCGGUUCUGCCCGCCGCCUCUGUCCAGUCUGUGCACUUCACCUCCCUGGCUCCCGCUCUCCCCUGAGCUUACAGUGGACGCGGGGUUCUUCCAAACCCCUCUUGGGAAUACUGAAUGGAAAAGGGGGAGCGUGCGCAAGUGCUUGGUAGAGUGUAGACAUUGUGGGAUUUGACUGUGGUACCAUCGCUUUGACGUCCUAGUGCUGAUUUUUACACCUGCAUUCUGCUUAGGGCACUGGCAACAGUUUUCCGUUUGUGCCUACUCCACCUGCUGUCUUUGUUGGGUCAGCGAACAUCGCCUCCCUCUACCGCUCAAUCAGCAAAAGGGACCGCCCUUGAGGACCUCACCCGCCGCUCACUCCCCUCCCAACUUCGCGGGCAUCGCCUCCGGUCGCCUCUUCCGAAGGCCUAACGAGCAUGUUAGCUGCGAACGGAGCUAAACAAGCACUGGCCUUGAGAUAAGCAAUGCUGAAGCACUUGCAGCUCACCUAUUACCAUAAACUGACUGAGCCCUCCCUACACAAGCCGUAACUACUGCUUUGAUUGGACAAGAGACUGAUUUCAGUAGUUUUCUCUUGAUAAGAGACCACUGGCCGUGGGCGGGUUCUGGACAGUUUACAGAAGCUAUGCACUUGAUUGCCUUUGUGUCCCUGCUUCACCUUUUGAAGCAUAGGGCCUAAUUAUAAUGUAUUUAAAUGUUGUCUCCACCCCAAAGUGAACAUGGGUUGCAUGUAACAGGCAUGUUUACUCAGCAUGCAUGCAGCAGGAUCCCUUCACAAAUAUUCAGAGCUCCCCCUAUUCCCUGUUGAAUAUGUAUAUGUGGCCAGCCAGAUCAACGUAAAUCACUAUUCGCCCUCCCCUCCCUGGAAACCUACUUUUCGGGUUUCAGCAGGAAGCUAUGCCUCCCAGUCUGUCAGAAUGGCCACUUGCAGGCUGUAACCCUUUAUAAAAAAAUAAAAUCUCCUUUCUAAAUUUA